rnacentral:rRNA from 1 species
GAUGAACGCUAGCGAUAGGCUUAACACAUGCAAGUCGAGGGGCAGCAUGGUCUUAGCUUGCUAAGGCUGAUGGCGACCGGCGCACGGGUGCGUAACGCGUAUGCAACUUGCCUCACAGAGGGGGAUAACCCGUCGAAAGACGGACUAAUACCGCGUACACUCUAUGUUGGGCAUCCAAUGUAGAGGAAAUGAAAUUCGCUGUGAGAUAGGCAUGCGUCCCAUUAGCUAGUUGGUGAGGUAACGGCUCACCAAGGCGACGAUGGGUAGGGGAACUGAGAGGUUGAACCCCCGCAAUGGAACUGAGGCACGGACCAGACUCGUACGGGGGGCAGCAGUGAGUAAUAUUGGUCAAUGGGCGAGGGCCUGAACCAGCCAAGUCGCGUGAAGGAUGACUGUCUUAUGGAUUGUAAACUUCUUGUAUACGGGAAUAACAAGAGUCACGUGUGGCUCCCUGCAUGUACCGUAUGAAUAAGCAUCGGCUAACUCCGUG